rnacentral:rRNA from 1 species
CCUACGGGGGGCUGCAGUGGGGAAUAUUGGACAAUGGGGGAAACCCUGAUCCAGCAAUGCCGCGUGUGCGAUGAAGGCCUGCGGGUUGUAAAGCACUUUCGGUGGGGAAGAAAUGCUCAAAUAUAAUACAUUUGAGAGCUGACGUUACCCACAUAAGAAGCACCGGCAAACUCUGUGCCAGCAGCCGCGGUAAUACAGAGGGUGCAAGCGUUAAUCGGAGUUACUGGGCGUAAGGGUUGAGUUGGCUGGUGAAAUCCCUGGGCUUAACCUAGGAAUUGCAUUCGAUACUGGAUGCCUAGAGUAUGGUAGAGGAAAGUAGAAUUCUCGGUGUAGUGGUUAAAUACGUAGAUAUCGAGAGGAAUAUCAGUGGCGAAGGCGACUUUCUGGACCAAUACUGACGCUGAGGCGCGAAAGCGUGGGGAGCAAACAGGAUUAGAUACCCCGGUAGUC